rnacentral:rRNA from 1 species
CGGCGAGUGAAGCGGCAACAGCUCAAAUUUGAAAUCUGGCCCUUGGGUCCGAAUUGUAAUUUGUAGAGGAUGCUUUUGGUGCGGUGCCUUCCGAGUUCCCUGGAACGGGACGCCAUAGAGGGUGAGAGCCCCGUCUGGUUGGACACCAAUCCUCUGUAAAGCUCCUUCGACGAGUCGAGUAGUUUGGGAAUGCUGCUCUAAAUGGGAGGUAUAUGUCUUCUAAAGCUAAAUACCGGCCAGAGACCGAUAGCGCACAAGUAGAGUGAUCGAAAGAUGAAAAGCACUUUGAAAAGAGGGUUAAAUAGUACGUGAAAUUGUUGAAAGGGAAGCGCUUGUGACCAGACUUGAGCCCGGUUAAUCAUCCAGCCUUCUGGCUGGUGCACUUGGCCGGCUCAGGCCAGCAUCAGUUCGGCGCGGGGGAUAAAGACUUCGGGAAUGUGGCUCCUCCGGGAGUGUUAUAGCCCGUUGUGUAAUACCCUGUACUGGACUGAGGUUCGCGCAUCUGCAAGGAUGCUGGCGUAAUGGUCAUCAGCGACCCGUCUUGAAACACGGACCAAGGAGUCGUCUUCGUAUGCGAGUGUUCGGGUGUCAAACCCCUACGCGUAAUGAAAGUGAACGCAGGUGAGAGCUUCGGCGCAUCAUCGACCGAUCCUGAUGUUCUCGGAUGGAUUUGAGUAAGAGCAUACGGAGCCGGACCCGAAAGAAGGUGAACUAUGCCUGUAUAGGGUGAAGCCAGAGGAAACUCUGGUGGAGGCUCGCAGCGGUUCUGACGUGCAAAUCGAUCGUCAAAUAU